GCGCGCUCUCUGGCAGGGAGGCGCGCGAGGGGUGCCUGCGGCGGCCGCGUGCUCCCGCGAGGGGGCGUGUCCUUCCGCGGCCAGCUGGGUCCCCGAGGGUCCAGAUCCACGCGCGGGCUGGAGAGCGCGCACGGCUGUGAAGAGGGAUGGAGAUGGAGCCUCAUGACAAAAAUGAAAGUGAACAUGAUGUGGGAAAUAUAAAGAAGAGAUCCCCAAGAUAAGGAUUCUGGAGCAGAAAGAGCACUUCCAAUGAACAACCUAUUCAUCCAAAAGCCAAGACUACUUACUGGAAAUUUCAGGUGACCCAAGGCCUCCCAUUUUUUCCCUCCCAUUUUUAUUAACAUAAGACAUGCUAUAAAGUAUAAGUAACAGUAUCUGUUGCUUUCUGUUUUCACAAUUAUUAGUAAUAGUUAAUUCCCCAACAUCCUUAUGGUAGAAAGAUAAUCAUUUCUGGUUACCACAUCGAGAAGGAAACAGUGACUAAUGUGACUCAGCACAGUGAAAGACUCGAGAUUUGAAAACAGAGGCCUUAGCUCUUAGCAAUGCUGUACUGAGAUUACAUGGAGAACACAACCAACUUGCAUAAAUGGCAGACUGACAAUUCCUUAUCUGUGAGUGCUAAGUCCAGGCUAUAAUGUUUUCUGACUAUGUAUAUAAAGACAACUUACUAUUUAACUUAAAUGAAAUUCAUAUGUGAAUGUAUCUAAUAUAGUCAAAGUGAAAGAAAAGUCGAACUUCUUAUCUAGACAAAAGAAUUACUGUUGUUUUUAAACAUACACUCUAUUAAUG